rnacentral:rRNA from 1 species
GAUGAACGCUGGCGGUAUGCUUAACACAUGCAAGUCGAACGGAACCUUCGGGUUUAGUGGCGGACGGGUGAGUAACGCGUGAGAAUCUGCCUCUAGGUCGGGGACAACAAUUGGAAACGAUUGCUAAUACCCGAUGUGCAGCAAUGUGAAAGAUUUAUUGCCUAGAGAUGAGCUCGCGUCUGAUUAGCUAGUAGGUGUGGUAAUGGCGCACCUAGGCGACGAUCAGUAACUGGUCUGAGAGGAUGACCAGUCACACUGGGACUGAGACACGGCCCAGACUCCUACGGGAGGCAGCAGUGGGGAAUUUUCCGCAAUGGGCGAAAGCCUGACGGAGCAAUACCGCGUGAGGGACGAAGGCUUUUGGGUCGUAAACCUCUUUUCCCUGAGAAGAAGAUCUGACGGUAUCAGGGGAAUCAGCAUCGGCUAACUUCGUGCCAGCAGCCGCGGUAAUACGAGGGAUGCAAGCGUUAUCCGGAAUUAUUGGGCGUAAAGCGUCCGCAGGUGGCUCUGUAAGUCUGUCGUUAAAGAAUGGGGCUCAACCCCAUACAGGCGAUGGAAACUACAAGGCUAGAGUUUGGUAGGGGUCACGGGAAUUCCUAGUGUAGCGGUGAAAUGCGUAGAUAUUAGGAAGAACACCAGCGGCGAAAGCGCGUGACUGGGCCAGUACUGACACUCAUGGACGAAAGCUAGGGGAGCGAAAGGGAUUAGAUACCCCUGUAGUCCUAGCCGUAAACGAUGAUAACUAGGUGUUGCC